rnacentral:rRNA from 1 species
UACGUAGGGUGCAAGCGUUUGUCCGGAAUUAUUGGGCGUAAAGAGCUCGUAGGCGGUUUGUCGCGUCUGCUGUGAAAACUCAGGGCUUAACCCUGAGCCUGCAGUGGGUACGGGCAGACUAGAGUGUGGUAGGGGGAGAUCGGAAUUCCUGGUGUAGCGGUGGAAUGCGCAGAUAUCAGGAGGAACACCGGUGGCGAAGGCGGAUCUCUGGGCCAUAACUGACGCUGAGGAGCGAAAGCAUGGGGAGCGAACAGG